GGGUCGGUAGCGAAGUGGUCAAACGCAUCAGACUGUAAAUCUGACGGCCUCGUGCCUUCGUAGGUUCGACUCCUACCCGGCCCACCA
rnacentral:tRNA from 1 species